AUCCAGCUGACGAGUCCCGAGUAGGACGAAACGCUCGUCCUGGAU
rfam:Schistosoma mansoni, Puerto Rico, WGS project CABG01000000 data, contig: 0171